AGAGAGAGAGGAGGAUGGGGAAUAGAGAGAGGUUUUCUAUUUUUAUGAUAGAGACCCUGAGGACAUAGAAUGAAAGAGACCACAUCACCAAAGCUUCCUUUAAUGAAGUAUGGGCUAGAUUCCAAACUAAGUGGCACACAUGGCAAAGGCUCACACUAUUCAGGUGUGCUAUGGGGUUGCUGGAAAAGUCAUGAUGCAUUUUUGCAUAGAAACACAUAGGAAAAGUAUGUUAUGACUUUUCUGACAAGCCAAUAUUUUGCCAGCCCUGUUGCAAACUUAGCAGUACUGAUACUUUCUAGAACCACCUUCUUAGUAACUUUCACAAUUAUUCAUGACCAUGAUUGGGCAAAUUACAUAUUGUAGGUUCUAUGAUUAUACCAAGUUGUGUGUACUUGUAUGGGAGUUAAACCUGACUUAUGCUACUCUCUUCUGAUCCAUUUUAUAUACUGAUUCUGGUAAUAGGUAAAAGGCCAAAAUUAUUGAUUCUUCCUGCAAGUUCUUUUUUUUUAAUUAUUUAUUUACUUUCUAUUUUGUUGCCCUUGUUGGUUUUUAUUGUUGUUGUAGUUAUUAUUGUUGUCAUCAUUGUUAGAUAGGACAGAGAGAAAUGGAGAAAGGAGGGGAAGACAGAGAGGGUAAGAGAAAGACACCUGCAGACCUGCUUCACCGCCUGUGAAGCGAUGCCCCUGCAGGUGGGGAGCUGGAGGCUCCAACCAGGAUCCUUAAGCUGGUCGUUGUGCUUCAUGCCACAUGUGCUUAACCUGCUGCGCUACUGCCCGACUCACCCUCCAAGUUCUUUUAACUGCCCUAUAUACCCUUCAAUUUAUAUAUUAUUUCCAUUUUAUUUUCUUCCUUGGCCUUGAUCCACAUAGAUAUACACAUAUACACACAGUCUUGGGGAGUAUGUGUGUGUGUGUUUUAGUAGACAUAUCUGAAUAAUUUUAUAGUAAGAAUUUAGGUCAGAGCCAACAUGAACAACUGCCAAGAAAAACAUACCCAGCAAUGAAUAACUCAUAAAGAUUUGUUAGGAAAAAAAAUAAAAGUACACAAUGAAGUGUAUUACCUGGGUUUUAACUUUCCGGUGUGAUAUCCUAUUAAAUUCACACACUUCAAAUGGAUUCAAGGCUUCUGGUCAUUGUUUCUUUGUAAUUUAAUAUGUCAUUUUCAGGAGCAGCUGAGGUAAAAUGAAAAGAGCAGUGAAAUACCUAGGUUUAAACGUUUACUCUGCCAAACAUUUACUAAAUGUGUGACCUCACUUUUCUAAGGGGUUGGUUCUCCCCUCCCCCCACGGUGGAGGUAAUGAUAUGAAAGUGUAUUGUUGAAAGGCUGAAGUGAGAAAAUAUCUGCAGCAAUAUCUACUCCAGGUCUUGGCAUGCCUGUUUCCCUCCUUCCUUCCAGGGCCAGUUUAUCAUGAACUGUACCAUGGCUUUCAAUUACAUAAUCCUUUUCAAUAAUUCUGAAAGUGUAAACCAACUGUCUUUGAAACAGAGAUGCCAUCAAGUAACCUAGUGUAGGGAACCUUGUUAUUUUAGUUUCAUCUCUCCUACUUUACCUGUGGCUGCCUAUUUUGUGUUGGUGUGGUGAAGAGAGGGAAAAAAAAAAAAAACCUUUCCAAUAUCAUCUCUGCAGAAUCUAGCUUACAGUAACUCCAUGACUUUUUUGUGCUACAGACUAUAGCAAAUGGUAGUUUUGUGGACUUAAUGUAGAUUUUGUAUUUUUAUUAUUAUUUUAUUUAUUUAUUGGAUAUAUAUAUAUAUAUAGAGAGAGAGAGAGUGAGAGGGAGAGAGAAAUUGGUAGGGGAAGUAGAGGGGGGGCAUAUAGUGCUGCUAUCAUCUCUCAUGCAGCUUUUCUUUUACAAGUGGUAGGGGGCUGGGGUUCUUUCACAUUGUAAUGUGCAAUUUUUUUUUUUUUUUUUACCAGAGCACUAGUCAGCUCUGGUUUAUGAAGGUGUGGGUGACUGAAUCUAGGACCUUGAAGCCUCAGGCAUAACCAUUAUGCUAUCUACCCCCACCCGUGCACUCUUAAUGGUUGUACCACUGCCCAGCCUAGUAUUUCCUAUAGAUUAAGAGUUCUUCCAGAAAGAAAAAGAAAAAAAAUAGUCUGUUUCUCUGAAUUGGUUAAAUAAGUUAAUUAAACUACCCAAUCUCAUCAAAUAAAGGGCCCAUCCACAUUCUUACUUCCUAUGUGAAGAUGAUAUGAUUCAUUCUUUUUUGGUAAAUAUUUUAUUUAUUUAUCAAUGAGAGGGAUAGGAAGAGAGGGAGAAAGAACCAAAUAUCACUCUGGUACAUGUGCUGCCAGGGAUUGAACUCAGGACCUCAUGCUUGAGAGUCCAGUGCUUUAUCCACUGCUCAAUCUCCUGGACCACUGAUUCAUUCUUCAGCUGAAUUGUAAUCUAUGGUAUCCCUGUUAAUAGUUCUUCAAACUUACUCUUUUGAAAACUUGACCAUUUCCAGUUGGCUUGGGUGCCCUAUGAGUAGAAAAUUAGCAAUAAAUGAAUAAGAAAGAAAGAAAGAAAAA